rnacentral:rRNA from 1 species
UACAGAGGUCUCAAGCGUUGUUCGGAUUCAUUGGGCGUAAAGGGUGCGUAGGCGGCGAGGUAAGUCGGAUGUGAAAUCCCGGGGCUCAACCCUGGAACUGCAUUCGAUACUGCCUUGCUCGAGGACUCGAGAGGAGAUUGGAAUUCACGGUGUAGCAGUGAAAUGCGUAGAUAUCGUAAGGAAGACCAGUGGCGAAGGCGGGUCUCUGGACAGUUCCUGACGCUGAGGCACGAAGGUCAGGGGAGCAAACGGG